UUUGCAUGGAUAUAUGUCUUU
rnacentral:piRNA from 1 species